rnacentral:lncRNA from 1 species
AUGGCCAAAUCUCGCCUGCAUGUUUUUCAUUUCCAGUUAAGCAUGCAUGUUGGUCCUCUGGGAGUAACCCCACUCUUCAGAUCCGUGCCUUGCACCUGGAAGAGGAGGUACCUGAGGCCAAUAAGAAGUAGAAACACAAAAAGGGCUGGUGGUGUUGAUUGCCAAAAGACAUACCAGGACUAUGGCAGCCAGUCAGCACAGAACAGAAACAUAAAAGCAUUCCAUGUCAAGAGCCGCAAGAACUUUCAGUCACCCCAUCCAGGCACGUGGCAAGGACGCGGGUCUCACUGCUGUUUCUCUUCGUGUUGGCAUGAUGAUUCCCAGACAGACAUGGGGCAAGCUAUUCUGAAAAGAGUACCAGGAGCACUUUGCAGGCAAAGAACGAUGUAA